UAGAUACUACAACAAGAAGGUAGUGACACUACACACUGAGACACUGGAGGGGUUAUAGAUACUACAACAAGAAGGUAGUGACACUACACACUGAGACACGGGAGGGGUUAUAGAUACUACAACAAGAAGGUAGUGACACUACACACUGAGACACUGGAGGGGUUAUAGAUACUACAACAAGAAGGUAGUGACACUACACACUGAGACACGGGAGGGGUUAUAGAUACUACAACAAGAAGGUAGUGACACUACACACUGAGACACUGGAGGGGUUAUAGAUACUACAACAAGAAGGUAGUGACACUACACACUGAGACACGGGAGGGGUUAUAGAUACUACAACAAGAAGGUAGUGACACUACACACUGAGACACUGGAGGGGUUAUAGAUACUACAACAAGAAGGUAGUGACACUACACACUGAGACACUGGAGGGGUUAUAGAUACUACAACAAGA